GGACGAAUAGCUCAACGGCAGAGCAGUGGUUUGUUAGACCAAUGGUUGAAAGUUCGAGUCUUUCUUUGUCCG
rnacentral:tRNA from 1 species